GACGAACGCUGGCGGUGUGCCUAAUACAUGCAAGUCGAACGCACUCUCGUUUAGAUUGAAGGAGCUUGCUCCUGAUUGAUAAACAUUUGAGUGAGUGGCGGACGGGUGAGUAACACGUGGGUAACCUGCCCUAAAGUGGGGGAUAACAUUUGGAAACAGAUGCUAAUACCGCAUAAAACCUAAACACCGCAUGGUGUAGGGUUGAAAGAUGGUUUCGGCUAUCACUUUAGGAUGGACCCGCGGUGCAUUAGUUAGUUGGUGAGGUAAAGGCUCACCAAGACCGUGAUGCAUAGCCGACCUGAGAGGGUAAUCGGCCACACUGGGACUGAGACACGGCCCAGACUCCUACGGGAGGCAGCAGUAGGGAAUCUUCCACAAUGGACGAAAGUCUGAUGGAGCAACGCCGCGUGAGUGAAGAAGGUUUUCGGAUCGUAAAACUCUAGUGUUGGAGAAGAAUGUAUCUGAUAGUAACUGAUCAGGUAGUGACGGU
rnacentral:rRNA from 1 species